AAGAAAGUAAGAAAGAGCGAACGGUGGAUGCCUUGGCUCUCGGAGGCGAAGAAGGACGUGAUAAGCUGCGAUAAGCUUCGGGGAGGUGCAAAUAACCCUUAAUCCGAAGAUUUCCGAAUGGGGCAACCCAACUAACUGAAGGUUAGUUAUCCUUUUAUAAGGAGGCGAACGCAGGGAACUGAAACAUCUAAGUACCUGCAGGAGAAGAAAACAAAAGUGAUUGCGCAAGUAGUGGCGAGCGAACGCGCAGAAGCCCAAACCAAUGAUGUUUAGGCAUGAUUGGGGUUAUAGGACUGCGAAGUAGAUUUAUAUUAAGAAUCAGAACCAAUUGGAAAAUUGGGCCAAAGAAGGUGAAAGCCCAGUAUGAGUAUUUAAUAUAAAUUUUAGCAGUAUCCUGAGUAGUGCGGGACACGAGAAAUCCUGUAUGAAUUUGCCGGGACCAUCCGGUAAGGCUAAAUACUCCCGAGAGACCGAUAGCGAACAAGUACUGUGAAGGAAAGGUGAAAAGAACCUCGAAUAGAGGAGUGAAAUAGAACCUGAAACCGUUCGCUUACAAGCGGUUGGAGCUCCUACGUGGAGUGACAGCGUGCCUUUUGCAUAAUGAACCUACGAGUUACUGUCACUAGCAAGGUUAAGGUCUUCAGGACCGCAGCCGAAGCGAAAGCGAGUCUUAACAGGGCGUUAAGUUAGUGGGAGUAGACGCGAAACCAAGUGAUCUACCCUUGAGCAGGUUGAAGGUUGGGUAACACCAACUGGAGGACCGAACCGGUAAGCGUUGAAAAGCUUUCGGAUGACUUGAGGGUAGGGGUGAAAGGCUAAUCAAACUUGGAGAUAGCUCGUACUCCCCGAAAUGCAUUUAGGUGCAGCCUUGAGAUAGUUUAUAAGAGGUAGAGCGACUGAUUGGAUGCGAGGGCUUCACCGCCUAUCAAGUCCUGAUAAACUCCGAAUGCUUAUAAAUAUUUCUCAGGAGUGAGGGCAUGGGUGCUAAGGUCCAUGUCCGAGAGGAGAAGAAUCCAGACCAUCAGCUAAGGUCCCCAAAUAUAUGCUAAGUUGCAUUAACGAAGUCGAACUGCAGAGACAGCUAGGAUGUUGGCUUGGAAGCAGCCAUUCAUUUAAAGAGUGCGUAACAGCUCACUAGUCGAGCGGUUUGGCGUGGAUAAUAAUCGGGCAUAAGCAUAUUACCGAAGCUAUGGGAUCGAAAGAUCGGUAGGGGAGCAUUCUUGACCGCGUAGAAGGCAUAUCGUCAGGUAUUCUGGAGCGUCAAGAAAAGCAAAUGUAGGUAUAAGUAACGAUAAUGGGAGCGAGAAACUCCCACGCCGAAAGACUAAGGGUUCCUGAUCAACGCUAAUCGGAUCAGGGUUAGUCGGGGCCUAAGGAGAAGCCGACAGGCACAUCCGAUGGAAGAACCGGUUAAUAUUCCGGUACUACCUUAUAGAGUGAAGUGGGGACGAAGGAGUGAAAGUCCUGCGUGGUGACGGAAUACCACGUUAAAGGGUGUAGAUGCUGAGAGAGAUAGGCAAAUCCGUUUCUUGAGUCGAACCUGAAAGUAUGGCGAGCCCUUGUGGUGAGCCAAUAUGGAUGUAAACAUACUUCCAAGAAAAACCGCUAGCGUUAAUUUAUAAGGUACUCGUACUCUAAACCGACACAGGUGGUCACGUAUAAUGUACUAAGGCGCUCGAGUGAUUCACAGCUAAGGAACUAGGCAAAAUAGUCCUGUAACUUCGGGAGAAAGGACGCCUCCCCACGCAAGUGGGAGGCCGCAGAGAAAUGGCCCAGGCGACUGUUUAACAAAAACAUAGGGCUAUGCAAAAUCGAAAGAUGAAGUAUAUGGCCUGACACCUGCCCGGUGCUGGAAGGUUAAGAGGAGAUGUCAUCGCAAGAGAAGCAUUGAAUUGAAGCCCCAGUAAACGGCGGCCGUAACUAUAACGGUCCUAAGGUAGCGAAAUUCCUUGUCGGGUAAGUUCCGACCUGCACGAAUGGUGUAACGAUCUGGGCACUGUCUCAGCUGUGAGCUCGGUGAAAUUG
rnacentral:rRNA from 1 species